rnacentral:rRNA from 1 species
GACGAACGCUGGCGGCGUGCUUAACACAUGCAAGUCGAACGGAGAGGCGCUGCUUUUGUGGGUGGCUCGAGUGGCGAACGGGAGGGGAACGCAACAGUAGCCUGCCCUGGACUUUGGGAUAACUUCAGCGCACGGGGGCGAAUACCAUAUAGGAUCUCCUGCUUCUGUGGCGUGGUGGGAAUGUGUCGGCGGUUGGGGAUGUAGUCGCGGCUUAUCAGCUUGUUGGUCGGGUAGGUGCUGACCAAGGCUUUGACGGGUAGCCGGCCUGAGAGGGUGACCGGCACGAUUGGGACUGAGAUGCGGCCCAGCAUCGUACGGGAGGCAGCAGUGGGGAAUAUUGUACAAUGGGCGGACGGCUGAUGCGGCAACGCCGUGUGCGUGAUGACGGCCUUCGGGUUGUAAACCGCUUUCGCCUGUGACGAAGCUUGAGUGACGGUAAUGGGUAAAGAAGCACCGGCUAACUACGUG